rnacentral:rRNA from 1 species
GAUGAACGCUGGCGGCGUGCCUAAUACAUGCAAGUCGAGCGAAUGGAUUGAGAGCUUGCUCUUAUGAAGUUAGCGGCGGACGGGUGAGUAACACGUGGGUAACCUGCCCAUAAGACUGGGAUAACUCCGGGAAACCGGGGCUAAUACCGGAUAACAUUUUGAACCGCAUGGUUCGAAAUUGAAAGGCGGCCUCGGCUGUCACUUAUGGAUGGACCCGCAUCGCAUUAGCUAGUUGGUGAGGUAACGGCUCACCAAGGCAACGAUGCGUAGCCGACCUGAGAGGGUGAUCGGCCACACUGGGACUGAGACACGGCCCAGACUCCUACGGGAGGCAGCAGUAGGGAAUCUUCCGCAAUGGACGAAAGUCUGACGGAGCAACGCCGCGUGAGUGAUGAAGGCUUUCGGGUCGUAAAACUCUGUUGUUAGGGAAGAACAAGUGCUAGUUGAAUAAGCUGGCACCUUGACGGUACCUAACCAGAAAGCCACGGCUAACUACGUGCCAGCCGCCGCCGUAA